rnacentral:lncRNA from 1 species
AUGUGGCUGACCAGCUGGGCCCCGGGUACCCUCUGCCUCUCUGCCUGCAGCACCCCUGCCCCUGGAGCCAGGAGGAGCCGUGCUCAGUCCCAGGACUCAGGCAGUGGAGUCACACAGCCUGGGCUUCCCUUCUGGUUCUGUUCUUUGGCUGGAAAAGCCAGUCCUUGCGCUGGGGGGAAAGACUUCCUGCCACAGCUCCCGGCUAGGGCCCGGGACAAACGGCCUGUCUCUCCAGAGCAUUUCCUGAUGUGGUUUGUGAGGAAUGUCUGCCGGCAGUGGAUGGCUGGGCCCGGGAGCCCCUGGGUCUCUGGCUGCCCACCACAGCUCCCCAGCCCAGGCUGCUGGGGCAGUUCCCGUCACCGCCCACCACAUGCACAUCUGGAUGCCAUUGUCUGCAGCUGCCGGGGUGGGGAGCCUGCUUGCUCAGAGCCCAACACACUCACUCUGAGCCCGGGAGGGAAAGCCAAGGAGAAAGAAGGAGAAGAAAGGCAUAUGGGUGGGGUGGGCGUGGAGAGGGCCAGGAGUGUCUCUUUGUUCGGGAGAAACUUCUGGCUUUUCCCAACCCAUCAGCAGAACGGAAGGGGGCCACGGCCGUGUCUAAAUCCAGCCGACCCGUCGCCACACGUGUUUCUGCUUCUAAACUCAUCAAAGGAGCUUCAGGGUCCUAAAAAUAUACCCGGGAAGCUGCUCCUGUUCCGCCCUCUCCUCGGAUUUUGUGUUUUCAUGACUUAGACAUUUCCUGCGGCUCCACAUGGCUCGCCCUGGCCGCGAGCAGCAGCGAGGCUCAUGGGAUAAGGCCAAGUCCAGGGUGACUGAGGGUGGGGGCAGGGGUGUGGGAGGGGGCGGGCAGGGAGUCUUUGGGCUGAGAUGUCCUCCGGUCAUGGAGGGCAGCAGCCACACCUGAUGCUAUCCCCUUGUCUUGGAGCUGCAGAAAACCAGCCCAGAGAGGGGCAGCCGCCUGCCUCAAGUCCCACAGCCAGGAUCCACACGGAAAUGACCGUGCAGGGCCUCAGGGCUCAGCCGUGUCCAGAUGGCUGUGCCACACGUGCCCUGGGACAGGCAGGAAACAGGUCUUGAUUGUCCCCGAGCUAUGUCACUGCACAAGUGGGAGUUCUGUGGAGGCAUGCGAUGGGGCUGGCAGGGAGCAAGCCUAGCCCCAGGGGUGCGGUGCAGGGGGCGGCUCUCCUGGGAAGAAGUGUGGCAAUGGUACUGACAUUUGUCAUUUGAUGAGCACCUGCUGUGUGCACUUCUCCCGCCUCUUCGUGGUUCUCAGGGUGGGGCUGUUGCCGGCUCCACCUGGCUCAGGCUGGCCAGGUGACUCGUUUUAAAAGACAUGGGGUCAGGAGCGGAGUCUGUGUGGGUGGGGCUCCUCCACGCCUCUGGCUGGCUUCCACGCUCCCUGCCCCACAGCCUUGAGUUGAAGGUUCAUGGGGACUCUGGAUGGGACCAAGUGAAAGGCUGGCGCUCACUGUUACAGCAGCAGGGCCCUGGUGGUGGUGGUGGGGCAGAGGGGCCCAGGGCGGGAGGCCCCUGUCUCUGGGCUUCCCCCUUCUCUCGUGGAGUCCCCGGCCCCUCGUGCCUUCCAGCGCACCAGACUUACUGCUGAGCUGAACCUGCCGAGUGGGUGCCAUCUCCCCUCAUCUGGCUGCUGGCUCUGUGCCUCCAUCUCCCAUGAUGCCCUGGUCUGCGGGCCGCUGUGUGUCUGUCCAGGCAAACUUAGAAGACUCGGCUC